CACGCCGUAAACUAUGGAUGCUAGCUGUUACUCGUAUCGACCCGAGUAGUAGCGAAGCUAACGCGUUAAGCAUCCCGCCUGGGGAGUACGGUCGCAAGAUUAAAACUCAAAGGAAUUGACGGGGACCCGCACAAGCGGUGGAGCGUGUUGUUUAAUUCGAUGAUAAACGAAGAACCUUACCAAGGUUUGACAUCCCGAUAGAGAUACUCCGAAAGGAGAAUUGCAUUUAGUUGGAUCGGUGACAGGUGU
rnacentral:rRNA from 1 species